CUAUGUUGGCCGGGCGACGGUUGUCCCGGUUUAAGCGUGUAGGCUGGUUUUCCAGGCAAAUCCGGAAAAUCAAGGCUGAGGCGUGAUGACGAGGCACUACGGUGCUGAAGCAACAAAUGCCCUGCUUCCAGGAAAAGCCUCUAAGCAUCAGGUAACAUCAAAUCGUACCCCAAACCGACACAGGUGGUCAGGUAGAGAAUACCAAGGCGCUUGAGAGAACUCGGGUGAAGGAACUAGGCAAAAUGGUGCCGUAACUUCGGGAGAAGGCACGCUGAUAUGUAGGUGAAGUCCCUCGCGGAUGGAGCUGAAAUCAGUCGAAGAUACCAGCUGGCUGCAACUGUUUAUUAAAAACACAGCACUGUGCAAACACGAAAGUGGACGUAUACGGUGUGACGCCUGCCCGGUGCCGGAAGGUUAAUUGAUGGGGUCAGCGCAAGCGAAGCUCUUGAUCGAAGCCCCGGUAAACGGCGGCCGUAACUAUAACGGUCCUAAGGUAGCGAAAUUCCUUGUCGGGUAAGUUCCGACCUGCACGAAUGGCGUAAUGAUGGCCAGGCUGUCUCCACCCGAGACUCAGUGAAAUUGAACUCGCUGUGAAGAUGCAGUGUACCCGCGGCAAGACGGAAAGACCCCGUGAACCUUUACUAUAGCUUGACACUGAACAUUGAGCCUUGAUGUGUAGGAUAGGUGGGAGGCUUUGAAGUGUGGACGCCAGUCUGCAUGGAGCCGACCUUGAAAUACCACCCUUUAAUGUUUGAUGUUCUAACGUUGACCCGUGAUCCGGGUUGCGGACAGUGUCUGGUGGGUAGUUUGACUGGGGCGGUCUCCUCCUAAAGAGUAACGGAGGAGCACGAAGGUUGGCUAAUCCUGGUCGGACAUCAGGAGGUUAGUGCAAUGGCAUAAGCCAGCUUGACUGCGAGCGUGACGGCGCGAGCAGGUGCGAAAGCAGGUCAUAGUGAUCCGGUGGUUCUGAAUGGAAGGGCCAUCGCUCAACGGAUAAAAGGUACUCCGGGGAUAACAGGCUGAUACCGCCCAAGAGUUCAUAUCGACGGCGGUGUUUGGCACCUCGAUGUCGGCUCAUCACAUCCUGGGGCUGAAGUAGGUCCCAAGGGUAUGGCUGUUCGCCAUUUAAAGUGGUACGCGAGCUGGGUUUAGAACGUCGUGAGACAGUUCGGUCCCUAUCUGCCGUGGGCGCUGGAGAACUGAGGGGGGCUGCUCCUAGUACGAGAGGACCGGAGUGGACGCAUCACUGGUGUUCGGGUUGUCAUGCCAAUGGCACUGCCCGGUAGCUAAAUGCGGAAGAGAUAAGUGCUGAAAGCAUCUAAGCACGAAACUUGCCCCGAGAUGAGUUCUCCCUGACUCCUUGAGAGUCCUGAAGGAACGUUGAAGACGACGACGUUGAUAGGCCGGGUGUGUAAGCGCAGCGAUGCGUUGAGCUAACCGGUACUAAUGAACCGUGAGG
rnacentral:rRNA from 1 species